rnacentral:rRNA from 1 species
UAUUAUUUUUUUGGAAUUUUAUGAAUACUUGAGUACUAAUAGUUAAAGUCUUGAAACUCAAAGAAUUUGGCGGUAUUUUAGUCUUUUCAGAGGAAUCUGUCCUGUAAUUGAUAUUACACGUUUUGUUUUACUUGAUUUGGUGUUCAGCUUGUAUACCGCCGUCAUCAGAUUAUCUUAUUAAGAGUAAUAAAUUUCUUAAUUUUUGUUAGGAAUGAAUGUCAGGUCAAGGUGCAGUUUAUAGUUAAGUGGAGAUGGAUUACAUUCACUGUGUGGUAGACGGAAAUGUGUGAUAAUUAAUGAUCUUUGAAGGUGGAUUUGAUUGUAAAUAUUUUUUAGAUAUAGUGUUGAUUUAAGCUCUAGAAUGUGUACACAUCGCCCGUCGCUCUCGUUGUAAUAUGAG